rnacentral:rRNA from 1 species
GGUGAACGCUGGCGGUAUGGUUUAAUACAUGCAAGUCGAGCGCCCCUCACUUUGUUUUCAAUUUUAUUGACGAUAAAGUGAGGGGAGCGGCGAACGGGUGAGUAACACGUUGGAAUCUGCCCCGAACUCAGGGAUAACUUCGCUAAGGCGGAGCUAAUACCGGAUAGUCCCGAAAGGGUAAAGUUUUUUCGGUUCGGGAGGAUCCUGCGGCCUAUCAGCUUGUUGGUAAGGUAACGGCUUACCAAGGCUAUGACGGGUAGCUGGUCUGAGAGGAUGACCAGUCACAAUGGGACUGAGACACGGCCCAUACUCCUACGGGAGGCAGCAGUAAAGAAUCUUCCACAAUGGACGAAAGUCUGAUGGAGCAAUACCGCGUGAAGGAUGAAGGUCGAAAGAUUGUAAACUUCUUUUCUGAGGGAAGAAUUAUGACGGUACCUCAGGAAUAAGCACCGGCUAACUCCGUG